UACGGAGGGUGCAAGCGUUAUCCGGAUUUACUGGGUUUAAAGGGUGUGUAGGCGGGUAUUUAAGUCAGUGGUGAAAUCUCCGAGCUCAACUUGGAAACUGCCAUUGAUACUAUUUAUCUUGAAUUUUGUUGAGGUAGGCGGAAUAUGUCAUGUAGCGGUGAAAUGCAUAGAUAUGACAUAGAACUCCGAUUGCGAAGGCAGCUUACUAAACAAAUAUUGACGCUGAGGCACGAAAGCGUGGGUAGCAAACAGG
rnacentral:rRNA from 1 species